rnacentral:tRNA from 1 species
GAGAGUGUAGCUCAGUGGUAGAGCGCAUGCCUAGCAGGCAGGAGGUUCUAGGUUCAAUUCCCAGUGCCUCCA